UCCGCCCCUCCCCCACAGCUCACAGUCACUGGAUCACAGCCGGACGGCUCGCGACGCCGUCACGGAAAAUAACAGCUGGACACAGACAAACGAGUCCCGCGAAUUGUAUUUUUAAACUGGAGAGACAGCUGACAGGAUGUCGUCAUCUGUAACCGUCACUCGCCACAGUUCUCAAGCGAGAGCAAAGGCAGCGAGGGGUGGUGUGAUGUCAUUUGCAACAAGACGGCUGAUACUAAUAUGAGCCUAAAAUAAAGGACAAUAAUGGCAUCAGCCAUUCAAGUUAUGAUCCUGGCAGAUCUACUACUAUCUGAAAAGUAGUCUCUGCAGAUUGUUUCAAGAUACACAAGAUGGAGCGUGGAGAGAUGGGACAUGGACCACAGUUUUUCAGCACCCACACCCCACACUCAAAUUCAUAUAGAAGUUCUCAAUUAUUAAAUGUUAAUUUCAUAGUUUAUAUUUAGCUGUGAAGUUAUAGUUCAUUGUCAUAAAUA